rnacentral:rRNA from 1 species
CCCCUAGAUGUUCUGGGCCGCACGCGCGCUACACUGAACAGUUCAACAAGUCUUAACCUUGGCCGAUAGGUCUGGGUAAUCUUUGAACGCUGUUCGUGAUUGGGAUAGACCUUUGCAAUUAUGGGUCUUCAACGAGGAAUUCCUAGUAAACGCAAGUCAUCAGCUUGCAUUGAUUACGUCCCUGCCCUUUGUACACACCGCCCGUCGCACCUACCGAUUGAAUGGUCCGGUGAAAUCUCAGGACGGCGGCUUGGUCGCUUGCGUCCGACUGCUGAAACUUGAUUAAACCAUAUCAUUUAGAGGAAGGUGAAGUCGUANCA